AAUUCUCAACCAUGUCUUGUGAACGAGGCUUGGCUUGGACUUGGGGGUUGCUGGUGGCAAAGGCCGUCAGCUCUCCUGAAAUGCAUUAGCAAAGGGCAGCAAGUCCGCGACGUGACAUGGCCUUUUCGACGUGAUAAUGAUCGUCGUGGGGCUGGAAGCGUCCGGACAUGCAUCGAUUGUCUUGUUUGCUUCUAAUUCAUCCUUCGUCAAUUGGACUCGGGACUCGACUGGGGUUGGCUUAGCUAUUAGUUGGUCGUGAGGCCGACGAACGUGGCCGGCUCAGCUUCGAGCGUUUCGUGGUCUGGUUGUCGAAACCUUUGACA
rnacentral:misc_RNA from 1 species